UUUUGAAACUCAGAAUUUACCCGAUUGCGUAGCUUUUCCUAGCACAGUAAAUUUUUGCAACUGAAAUCAUUGCAAAAGAGGCUCAAGUAUUCAAUGGAAUGAGGAAACGAUCACAGGUUUCUUGCCGCGAGUACUAUUCUUACAAGUUACAAAUUAGGCCUUCUAGUAAGUCUGUGUUGCUUCAUAAUGGUAGACUUUUUCAACAAUAUGUUGUAGAUAUGUAUGUUAAAAUUGAAACUGCCAGAUUAGACUAUUUUCGUAGCAAUCAGAAACAAAUUCGUGCUGAACUUUAUCAAGGUAUUGUGGAUAAUGUUCAAAAUGGGGAAACAAAAGGGUCAAAAAUUGGAAAGAAGAUUGUUCUACCACAAACUUUCACAUGUGGGCCUAGAGAUAUGCUUAAAAGAUAUUUAGAUACAAUGGCUAUCGUCCAAUGUUAUGGAAAACCAGAUAUAUUUCUAACUAUAACAUGUAAUCCAAAUUGGCCAGAAAUUAUGCAAGAACUCAAACACAAUGACGAAGUUCAAAAUCGCCCAGAUUUAAUUGCACGUAUAUUUAGAGCAAAAUUAUAAGAGUUAAAGAACGAUUUAUACAAAGAAAAUAUUUUUGGUUCAGUUGUUGCUCAUAUAUACAUGAUUGAAUUUCAAAAAAGAGGGCUCCCUCAUGCCCAUUUAUUGUUGAUUUUCAAUUCUGCCCAUAAAAUUUGUUGUGCUGAACAAGUUGAUAUGAUAGUGUCAUGUGAAAUUCCCGAUAAGAAUAAAUACUUGCAUCUUCAUUCUGUAAUUGCAAAACACAAUAUGCAUGGCCCUUGUGGAAACCUUAAUCCAAAAAACGUAUGUAUGUUGGCAAGUAGUGGUUGUAAAAAUAAAUAUCCUAAGGAUUAUUGUAACAGUACUAUAUUUGGUGAUAAUUCAUAUCCCUUGUAUA